rnacentral:rRNA from 1 species
GGGGAAUUGUUCGCAAUGGGCGCAAGCCUGACGACGCAACGCCGCGUGGAGGACGAAGAUCUUCGGGUCGUAAACUCCUGUCGAGCGGGAAGAACGUUUCGCGGCCGAAUAAGCCGCGGAAGUGACGGUACCGCUAAAGGAAGCCCCGGCUAACUUCGUGCCAGCAGCCGCGGUAAUACGAAGGUGGCAAGCGUUGUUCGGAUUUACUGGGCGUACAGGGAGCGUAGGCGGUUCGGUAAGCCCUUUGUGAAAUCUCCAGGCUUAACCUGGAACAGUCGGAGGGGACUGCCGGGCUAGAGGACGGGAGAGGAGCGCGGAAUUCCCGGUGUAGCGGUGAAAUGCGUAGAGAUCGGGAGGAAGGCCGGUGGCGAAGGCGGCGCUCUGGAACGUUUCUGACGCUGAGGCUCGAAAGCGUGGGGAGCAAA